CGAUUAGAUAUCGAUGAAUGUUCAAAAUGGUCCUGAAGUUUGUCCAGUGAAUUCAAUUUGUGUGACCACACAAGGAUCGUUUGGUUGUAUCUGCCGUUACCGUCAAUCGACAUAUUCAAAAGGCUGUGACGAUAUUGAUGGAUGUGAAGAGACUUAGGGUUUGUCCACUUAAAUGCAUCAACACUCAAGGCUCAUUUAUUUGCUCUUGUCCACUUGGUUACAAAUCAGCUGGCGAUGAAAAGACAUGCAUUGAUAUUGAUGAGUGCGCUGAAAACAUUGCCAAUUUGGCACUCUUCUGUGAAGGUUGAUGUAAUAAUACUGAAGGUUCAUACGUUUGUUCAUGUUCAGAAGGAUUUCAAGUUCGAGAUAAUAGAUUCUGUGAUGAUAUCAAUGAGUGCGAACGCAAUAAACCUUGUGGGGAAUCAAUUUGUUUAAAUACAAUUGGAGGUUACAAAUGUUUCAAUCAAGACUGUCCAGAAGGUUUUAUCAGAGAUUCAGCUCAUACUCAAAGCCACGGAAAGCCAUUCAAUGUGUUGGUGAUCAAUGCUACGAGAUUUACAAGAAAAGUUAACUUGUUAUAUUUCAUUUCCUACUGAGGUCUUGAUUCCGUCUUCUGGUAAACUGGCUUUAUUCACGGCUAGAGGACCCCUUUUACCAGGACCAGAAGUGUUGUUCAAAUUGAAUGUAACAUCGAUUGAAGCUGAUGGUUAAACUCAGCCUGCUGUGUGAGACGAUUUUCAUAAUAGCAUCAGCUUAUGAUGAAGCCAUAAUCUCUUUGAUUAAAGCUCUUUAAGAUGAGCAACUGGCUGAAUUGGAGCUUGAUUUAGAGCUUUGUCAAUGUGAUCUGCCUUCAGGAACCACCAAAAUUAUACUUAUGUUACACAUUUCAAGCAUCCAUUGCAGAAGUCCCGACGAAUGAAGCUAAAAUCAAAUGAUAUAAGGAAAUAACCAUAGAAUUGAUAAAUUUUUCAAAAAAAUGUAAAAAAAGUCAGACCAUAAAGUCAAAUUAUUUGGCUUUGAAAGUCAAAUCAAUAAUUCUAGUUCCGUUUAUCAUGGAAAGCAAAAAAUAUUGCUUGAAAUAAUCAAAAUCAACAGGAUGGCAUUAUUUUAUCACAAAUUAAAUGAUUUCACUUCAAGAGUUGAAAGUCGCAUGUUUGAAACACACAAUUUAAACAAUAUUGACUAUAAAUGUAAUUCUUAUUUUUAUAAUUUUUCGCACUUAUUGAGUUGUAUUUUUCACUCAUCCAUGAUCUUGAAAUGAAAGACCAUGAAAAGGCAUCAAAUAGCUAUUUUUCAACAUUCAAAGUUGAAAAAAUCAGAAACAAGGUUAAAUGUUGCAAUGAACAAAUUAUUUUGUUAAUAUCUUGCUACAAUGAUUAUGAUUGCUGAAAUGAGAGACAAAAACACAAAGCAAUAAAAUAAAUUUAUCUACUA